GAUGAACGCUGACAGAAUGCUUAACACAUGCAAGUCAACUUGAACUUCGGUUUGGGUGGCGGACGGGUGAGUAACGCGUAAAGAACUUGCCUCACAGAUAGGGACAACAUUUGGAAACGAAUGCUAAUACCUGAUAUUAUGAUUAUAUGGCAUCGUAUAAUUAUGAAAGCUAUAUGCGCUGUGAGAGAGCUUUGCGUCCCAUUAGCUAGUUGGAGAGGUAACGGCUCACCAAGGCGAUGAUGGGUAGCCGGCCUGAGAGGGUGAUCGGCCACAAGGGGACUGAGACACGGCCAUUACUCCUACGGGAGGCAGCAGUGGGGAAUAUUGGACAAUGGACCAAGAGUCUGAUCCAGCAAUUCUGUGUGCACGAUGAAGUUUUUCGGAAUGUAAAGUGCUUUCAGUUGGGAAGAAAAAAAUGACGGUACCAACAGAAGAAGUGACGGCUAAAUACGUG
rnacentral:rRNA from 1 species